rnacentral:rRNA from 1 species
GACGAACGCUGGCGGCGUGCUUAACACAUGCAAGUCGAACGAAAAGAGGGAAAGAGCCUGCUCUUUCCGGAAUUGAGUGGCAAACGGGUGAGUAACACGUAAACAACCUGCCUUCAGGAUGGGGACAACAGACGGAAACGACUGCUAAUACCGAAUAAGUUCCAAGAGCCGCAUGGCCCAUGGAAGAAAAGGUGGCCUCUACCUGUAAGCUAUCGCCUGAAGAGGGGUUUGCGUCUGAUUAGCUGGUUGGAGGGGUAACGGCCCACCAAGGCGACGAUCAGUAGCCGGUCUGAGAGGAUGAACGGCCACACUGGAACUGAGACACGGUCCAGACUCCUACGGGAGGCAGCAGUGGGGAAUCUUCCGCAAUGGGCGGAAGCCUGACGGAGCAACGCCGCGUGAGUGAGGACGGCCUUCGGGUUGUAAAACUCUGUGAUCCGGGACGAAAAGGCAGAGUGCGAAGAACAAACUGCAUUGACGGUACCGGAAAAGCAAGCCACGGCUAACUACGUG